GUCCAGAUAGCUCCAUUGGUAGAGCAUGAGACUUUUAAUCUGAGUUGUGGGCUCAAGCCCCAUUUUGGGCA